UGAGGAAUAUUGGUCAAUGGACGCAAGUCUGAACCAGCCAAGUAGCGUGCAGGAUGACGGCCCUAUGGGUUGUAAACUGCUUUUAUAUGGGGAUAAAGUGGGGAACGUGUUCCCUUUUGCAGGUACCAUAUGAAUAAGGACCGGCUAAUUCCGUGCCAGCAGCCGCGGUAAUACGGAAGGUUCGGGCGUUAUCCGGAUUUAUUGGGUUUAAAGGGAGCGUAGGCCGUUUGGUAAGCGUGUUGUGAAAUGUAGGAGCUCAACUUCUAGAUUGCAGCGAGAACUGUCAGACUUGAGUGCGCACAACGUAGGCGGAAUUCAUGGUGUAGCGGUGAAAUGCUUAGAUAUCAUGAAGAAAUCCGAUUGCGAAGGCAGCUUACGGGAGCGAAACUGACGCUGAAGCUCGAAGGUGCGGGUAUCGAACAGG
rnacentral:rRNA from 1 species